rnacentral:rRNA from 1 species
AACAAACGCUGGCGGCGUGCCUAAUACAUGCAAGUCGAACGGGGAAAGCUUUCGGGUGAGUACUAGUGGCGCACGGGUGAGUAACGCGUGGAUAAUCUGCCUUAGAGUGGGGGAUAACUAGUCGGAAGAUUAGCUAAUACCGCAUAAGACCACAAGAACUGCGGUUCAAGAGGUCAAAGGUUUUUCGCUCUAAGAUGAGUCCGCGUAAGAUUAGCUAGUUGGUGAGGUAACGGCUCACCAAGGCAACGAUCUUUAACUGGUCUGAGAGGAUGAUCAGUCACACUGGAACUGAGACACGGUCCAGACUCCUACGGGAGGCAGCAGUAGGGAAUAUUGCACAAUGGAGGAAACUCUGAUGCAGCGACGCCGGGUAAGUGAUGAAGGCCUUCGGGUCGUAAAGCUCUGUCGCAGGGGAAUAACACAAUGAAUGUACCCUGUAAGAAAGGAUCGGCUAACUUCGUGCCAGCCGCCGCAGUAAGAC